rnacentral:tRNA from 1 species
GUGGAGCUGUCGCUCAGCGGUAGAGCGCGUGCCUCCUGCGUGUGAGGCACUGGGUUUGAUUCCGGGCACCACA